rnacentral:rRNA from 1 species
AUGACCGUGACGCUCCAGGAUAUUGCUAUGAUCACCGGUCUUCCUAUCGAGGGGAAUCCUCUAUGUAUGAACACCGAUUCUGAUGAGUGGCGCGCGCAGAUGCAUGCCCUUAUCGGGAUGGUUCCUCCAGAGCCUCAGGAACCAGAAGCAGAAGACAAGAAUAAGGAAAGAGUCGCAGACUAUGUUUGCUGA